UCGUGUGCUUUCUUCUGGACAUGUGGAUACAGAACUAAAUACAAGAACAAAAGCCAAGAGCUUUAGAUGUAGUUUCUGAACCUGCCAUGAAUAAAUCCAUGCAAAUGGCUACCAAUUGAGGCUCUGAAACAUCUCAGUAUAGAAUUCAAAACAGUUAGAUAUAUAUCUAUUAAAUUUCCAGAUGUGAAGAAUGUCGUCUUGGAUAUUCAGAAGUUUGAUCUUCUAAAGAAAUAUGGAUCUAAUUGGCCGAAACGACCAACCCCAUUCUAGCUCGAAGUGAUAUUAUGUUACAUAUAUUUUUUCUAUUGGUGAAAAGGAUUAUCCACUAAUCUAAUAUAUGAAGAAAAGAGAACGACAUAUCAAAACUAAAUAAAAUAGAAAGAUAUAAACGAAUGAUUAAUAUUGCCAAAAAUGUUAAAGAUGGAGAUAGGAAAAUCGAGUAAGAAAUCUUUUUUACAUUAUUUUUUUACAUUACUACAUUGUACAUUACAAGAGCAAAUUUCUAAACUCCGCACAAUAUUAAAUGUGGUGAUAUUAAUUCAUCCAUUAUACAUGUUGAAUGCCAGUUAAUGUGCUUAUAUAUUUCUAUAUAAGUUAAUAAAUAGCAGUUGUAUUUUUAUGCUAUAAAUGUAAAUGAAUGUAUAUAUACAUGCACAAAUAAAAUUUUAUGAAAUAUGAAAUUCGAAAACUAAAGCUGACGGCUAUAUAUAAGAAAGGUCGGCUAUAUAAGAAAAAUUACUACAUAUUGUUCAAAAUGAUUUACAUAUUUCGGUUGUACUUUGGAAAAGUAUACGGUUAUGAUUGACAUGAAAUUUGGAAAAGUUUAGAGAAAGAAAAUGUAUUCUAAAUCGAAAUUUUAGUUUCGACUAUUUAUUAAUUUCCAAAAUAUCAAUAAAAAACUUUCGGUACAUUGAAUUUUGCCUAUAUAGAUAUAAUUAAUUAUAUUACACAGACAUUAUUAAUCAACCAGACAAGACGUUGUCAUAUCAUUGAAUGUAAAGCAAUCACAAUAUAUUCUAGAAUACAUAGGAUAAAAUGGAUUAUUUUAAUUUCAAUCGAUCGAUAAAAAAUAUUUUCAGUAUCAAUUUAGUAUAAGAAUUUAUUAU